rnacentral:ncRNA from 1 species
CUAUUGAAGGUCAAAAAGGUGCAACUUGGGAAAAAAUAAAUGUAAGGCCAGUAAGUACCUGUUAUAAUGAAAGUGAGGCCGUAUGGCCAUGUUGGGGUCACCAACAACCGACCUUGAUCUUCGGUGAAAGGUUUGAGUAUGAGCAUAUCCGUUAGGACCCGAAAGAUGGUGAACUAUGCCUGAGCAGGGUGAAGCCAGGGGAAACUCUGGUGGAGGCUCGUAGCGAUACUGACGUGCAAAUCGUUCGUCAGACUUGGGUAUAGGGGCGAAAGACUAAUCGAACCAUCUAGUAGCUGG